rnacentral:RNase_P_RNA from 1 species
CGAGAGGACCGGACGGUCGCUCCGCGGGCCUCGCCCGCGGGGAGGAAAGUCCGGGCUCCACGGGUCAGGGUGGUUGCUAACGGCAACCGGCCGCGAGGCCAGGGAAAGUGCCACAGAAAACAGACCGCCACGGUCGGCCCCCGGGCAGGCCGCGGUAAGGGUGAAAAGGUGCGGUAAGAGCGCACCGCGGUCCUGGUGACAGGGCCGGCACGGCAAACCCCACCUGGAGAAAGACCAAAUAGGGAGGGCCCAGCGUCGCCGACCCGCGGCCAUGGCCCUCCGGGUAGGUCGUUCGAGGCCGGGCGCGAGUCCGGCCCCAGAGAAAUGACCGUCGCCCUCCUCGGAGGGAGACAGGAUCCGGCUUACAGGUCCUCUCGCGCC